AUGAGCAGCAGCAGCCGCAGCCGCCGCCACCGCUCCUCGUCGGCGCCGCCGCUGGACGACGAGAACCUACUCCCCGAGAUCCUCCUCCGCCUCCCGCCGCAGCCGUCCUCCCUCCCUCGCGCCUCCCUCGUAUCCAAACGCUGGCGCCGCCUUGUCUCCGACCCCGGCUUCCUCCGCCGCUUCCGCAUCCUCCACUGCCGCAGCCCUCCCCUCCUCGGCUGCUUCGUCGAACAGCUUGACGGCAUCUCCUUCCUACCUGCUUUGGAGGGCCCCAAUCGUGUCCCGCCCGGGCGUUUCUCCUUGCAGUUCAAGCACGGCAAGGGCUUCAUGCUACUCGACUGCCGCCAUGGCCUUGUACUACUCUCCGACUGGACGCGGCGCCAGUUCGUCGUGUGGGACCCCGUCACCGGCGACCAGCACCGCGUCGCCGUUCCCGCGGGGUUCGAUCCGAAGAGGACCGAGAUCAGCGGGGCGGUGCUUCGUGCCGCGGGAGACGUCCAACACUUCCAGGUGGUCUGUGUGGCAACACGCUGCGACGACAUACAACAUGGAGAAGCAGCGGUCGCCUGCGUUUAUUUGUCGGAGACCGGCGAAUGGAGUAACCUCGUAUCGACCCCAGUUCCUUCCGGGUCCAGACGCGAGUUAUAUCGGAUGUUAUCUUUCAGAACAAUGUCUAGGGAGCCCGCAGUGCUGACGCAGAGCCUGGCUGUUACAAGGGUUCCCCAUGUGCCUAUAGAUCACUUCAAGGUUAUAAGGGCAGAUAGUGGCGGGCUGUGUUUCCUGUACAUGUCAGAGUCAGACUUCACAGUGCAAUUAUGGAAGCCGGAGACCAAUUGCGAUAUUCUUGGUUCAUCUAGGCUGGGAAGAACUAUUGAACUGGGCAAAUUGCUUCCCGUGGAGCAAGGGAAGGACAACAUAUUUAUAGUAGGGUUUGCUGAGGAAAAUAAUAUGGUGUUCCUGAGGACAUUGAAAGGCCUCUAUGCGGUCCAUCUUCAGUGA
rnacentral:rRNA from 1 species